UACGGGGGGGGCAAGCGUUGUUCGGAAUUACUGGGCGUAAAGGGCUCGUAGGUGGCCAACUAAGUCAGACGUGAAAUCCCUCGGCUUAACCGGGGAACUGCGUCUGAUACUGGAUGGCUAGAGUUUGGGAGAGGGAUGCGGAAUUCCAGGUGUAGCGGUGAAAUGCGUAGAUACCUGGAGGAACACCGGUGGCGAAGGCGGCAUCCUGGACCAACACUGACGCUGAGGAGCGAAAGCCAGGGGAGCAAACGGG
rnacentral:rRNA from 1 species